rnacentral:lncRNA from 10 species
GAUAAUGAUGUGUCAAUGUAUUCAUUGAUUGUAACAUAUGUACUAUUCUGGUGGGGAAUGUUGAUAGUCGGGGAGGCUGUGCAUGUGUGAGAGCAGGGGGUACAUGAGAAUUCUCUGUACUUUCAAUUUUGCUGUGAACCUAAAACUGCUCUAAAAAUAAAGUUUUUUAAAAAAAUAGCUAACAUCAUACUUAGUAAAUGUUUCCCUCCUGAGAUCAGGAUCAAGACAAG